GAAAUACGGGAAGAAUAUUUCCAAAGAAAGGGAAAAACGUUUAUUAUUUGUUGGAACGAUUCAACGAGGAUAUUGCAUAUAACUAAUUCAACGAUACGAUUUGCUCAACUGCUUGCUUGUUUACUGUUUGCAUUUGUUCACGAGUCUUCCAACGUGCUUAAUCUUAUUUGCGCUGGUCUUCACGUUUCUUGAGAUUUUCCUUCGCUUUGCCAUUGAUAUUUGGGGCAACAUGCGAUGGUCUGUCCCACUGAGUGUAUUACACCGCAUCUGCUAUGUAUUGGCAGAUCUUCUUCUUUCAAUAAGUAAAAUUUGCAUAAGCAAUCCUCAGUCUAAAUAGGGUCACUUGAUAUUUCCUAUGUAUAUUGUAUAUAGUACAUGAACCUUUCCAACAAUUGUUCCAACGAUCAGUAAGAAUUCUUUUAAAUGAUUUUAGAGCCUCCUUAUGAUAGGCCGACAUACCUGGGUUACCCUCUCUGUCCCUUGUAGAUUAGCUUUCGCGGUCUCUUCAAUUUCAAUAUGAGAUGGGGUACACAAGAAAACAGGAUUUUCAGUGGCUUGUUUGUUUGACAGAUUUAAAUUUGCUUAUCGGUUAUGCUCAUCAGUAAUCGUAAUUAGUUUAGUAACCAGAUUUUCCCAUUUGGGAACGUCUAGAAAAGUGAAAGUGUAGAAUUGUUUCGUACGUGGGAAAUAUUGCAAUUCAAUAGAUUUAAUAAAAGAAACAAGCGAUUCGAGCUAUUAACAACAUCGUUUUACGAUGUAAUAUAAAUCGCUAAGUAUAGAUCAGGUUUUAGAUAAAAGUGUAUUUCCCAGAAAAGACAUUGUUCAAAGCAAUUGCAGCUUAACUUGUCAACUAUUGCACGACGGCUUCUGGUUUACACUUAUUCAUUUCGAAUAAAUGUUGAUUGUAAAUGUUAAUGAAUAUUAUUUAAUAAUGUAUUUCGUCUUUGUUUUAUUAAAAAUGUUUUUUUAUAUAUCGAUAUACUGGUUCACCAAAGUGUUUAAGACUCAGGAAAUUAUUGUUUAUACACUUUUAAGAUUAUAAUAAUAAUUAGGAUUAUAAUAACUCUUAAGAUAACAAGUAACAAACAAGUAAAUGUUUAGAAAACUUCUUUGUUCAUAUUGUAUAUGUCAUAUAGUUAAAUUAAGCUUCCAGUUUAAUCAUCGAACAGAAAGGCAAAAGAAGCGCAGGGGAAUUGUUCAAAAAGAAGAAGGAAAACCUCGAAUUAACAAAUCGUGACACGUUUCGAGCGCAUGGCGAACUGAAGGUUGCUUACAAUAAAGUUUAUAAACGAAGAGGUCACGCGAUAACCCUGCAGAAUGUCCGCCACAUUGAUUAUGCUUGCGUUCUCCAACAUGGCUCUCCCAGCUAAUUAGCUUGCAUCUUUUACCUUCACGAAAAUAGUAAAUAAGAAAGGUAUUUUUACCGUGAGAGUCGUUGAACAUAAAUUCCGUUAAAUUUCGAUCCAAACAUCGUUUUUUACUCGUCGAUUAAAAAUAAUUAUCCGAAGAUCAGUGUGGAGGUCAUGUUUUUCAGAAGUUCAAAAGUUUUUGGAAGUCACGAAGGAGGAUGUCCAUAUGUAUAAUUAAAUCAGUAUGAUGAAAGAAUUAGAGGAAAUGAUAGUAAUAUGGGACAAAUCUACGAGAAUAUUGCGAUGAUAUGAAUUUUAUAUUUAGAUUUCAAUUUAAUUUUGUAACUUUAGACGUAGGCACAUAAUUCCAAAAGAUAGAAAAUAUUUUCGAUAUCUUGAGAGAGUGAUUUAACAUAAAACUGGAAUUAAAAUGUUUUUCCUCAGACUAUAGAAAUCGUAUAACGAUAAAAACAAAUGCAAUUAAGUAAAAAACGACCUACAGGAAAUGACAGAGUUGGAUAUAUAAAUAUAAAAUAAGUUCACGUUUUCUUGCUACUACUAACUGAUCGUCUUCGACUCUUUUCUACGAACAGUUCACUUCUCUCGAAGUUUCUGCUCACAGGUAUCGUAGAGAAAUUACAGUACAUGAAGGUAGCAAAAAGUAGAUUGCAAAUAAAGCAAUGCUUUAAAUUUGUAAUAAUAAAGCUUACUGUGGCAAUUAACAAUUAUAAAGUAUCUUAUUAAAAUAUAGUAUCUCAUUGAAAUUAUAAAGUAUCUCAAAGUAUCACAUUUAUCAAUAGGUAUAAAGCAAUGUUCUACCUACGUUUUAUUUUUUUAGCUAUAUUCAUAAAAAUGUGAAUAUGAAUAAACAUCCGCAAUCUGCUGAGAAUACCUCAUUCGCAGUAGGCUUCGUUUGAUUUGAGGCAUUGCAUGGACGGAGCGAAAUCUGAGAAAAAUUUUCUUGAAGACAACGACUUAACACGAUAAACGUUAUCGAUGAAAUCAGCUGAAACAUAUCUGAAUUAAGAGGAUUAUACAGUAAUCGAUAUCCUUCUGAAAGUUAUCGCUGCUACUCGCCAAAUAACAACUGGUAAUUCACGAUACACGAUGUAACAUGUAUUCAUUGCAGUUAACGAUACUACAAGUACUAACUUCACAUUUAGUUCUCUUGCUUAUAAUUUACGUAAAUUAAAAUCUAAUUUCAACUGUGACGAAAUAAAUUUCUUUGCAAGUAACCAAAAACGUUCCAUUAUUAUUAUCAUAGUGAUUAAUAAAAUUUCAUUAAUAGUAUUAGUGUGGUUAAUAUCUAUUGUAUGGAAAGGGGGUCUGAAAUUAAAUAGCAAGUAUUUUGCCAUCGUUUAAGAGAAAUACAACGGAACCAAUGUUUAUCAAGGAAACUAAAUUAUUAAUACAAUAUAUAAUAUUAAUAUUUCGUACAUAAUAU